GGCGCCUUGGUAACACUUGAUAGAGACAUAUAACAAGGAUUCGUUUAUUUCAACAAACCAUUCACUUUCGUUAUUUCGUCGUGAGCAAAAUGUGCAGAAUAUAUUGUUGAAACGUGUAGGAGAUAUUGGGAUAAAAACAAAAGAACAUAAACCUAUCGAGUGUAUCUAAUACUAUCUUCUAGUUACUAUUUAUUGUAACUAGCGCAUCUGCGUGUGGUUGGCGAGCACGAACUCACGUUGUCAUUUUCAACAUUUCUUAAGAAGUUGAAGCGCUCCGGUCGCCAAUGACCAACGUGGCAAUCAAAGUGUUAAAGGCUUCGGUUCGAUUGACGAACAACGCUCCAGAGGCCCAGAGCCAGCUGACAAUUCGGCACAAACGCGAGAACAGUUCGAGGAGCAGCCCGGGCUAACGCAAGAAACCGUUUCAAAUCAUCUGCAUGAAACGAGAAAGAUGCAAAAAGGAGGAAAUGUGGCGUGAAAUUGCUUCUCAUACUAAUCAGAUGUCAUAACGAGUCUUAGAUACGCAGUAUCACCCGGUGUAUCCAUUUCAUGGUGCUUCCUCAGCUGGACAACUUUAUCGAGUAAAAAGAUCAUGGCAUUCUUUCGAAGUGAAAUUCAUCAGCAAUCUGAAUGAUGACUUAACUGUUUGAGUCGCAGGGAUCAUUGAAAAAACAGGAAAAUUAUUAUUAUUAUUAUUAUUAUUAUUAUUAUUAUAAAAUAUUAUUAUAUAUGCGUACUAUUAGUUUAUAAAUAUUUCAAGUUUUGUUCAAUAAAAAUUGAGAACAUAACAAUGAAAUACGAAAUACCGUCAGUUGUCCAUAGCGUUCAAAUGUACUGGCACUUGUCGACACAAAAUCUGAAGAGAUUUUUAAACAAGGGCGGUUAUUUUGAAUAAAAGUAUCAUGGAUGAGGAACCUGGGGAGUGCUGUGCAGAUUAUAAACAAGCGGUUGCUGAGCAUGUACAUAGUGAGGCUAAGACAAAAGACAAACCUAGGGUUUA